GACAAGGUAGGUUACAUAAACCGGUGGGCUCAUGCCCCAACAUCGAGACUGUGUCUCCCUUGCUC
rnacentral:tRNA from 1 species